rnacentral:rRNA from 1 species
GAUCUGCCUGCGGACGGGGACAACAGUUGGAAACGACUGCUAAUACCCGAUAAGCCGAGAGGUGAAAGAUUAAUUGCCCCAAGAGGAGCUCGCGUCCGAUUAGCUAGUUGGUGAGGUAAGAGCUUACCAAGGCGACGAUCGGUAGCCGGUCUGAGAGGACGAUCGGCCACACUGGGACUGAGACACGGCCCAGACUCCUACGGGAGGCAGCAGUGGGGAAUUUUCCGCAAUGGGCGAAAGCCUGACGGAGCAAGACCGCGUGAGGGAAGAAGGCUUUUGGGUCGUAAACCUCUUUUCUCAGGGAAGAAGAAAGUGACGGUACCUGAGGAAUAAGCCUCGGCUAACUCCGUGCCAGCAGCCGCGGUAAUACGGAGGAGGCAAGCGUUAUCCGGAAUUAUUGGGCGUAAAGCGUCCGUAGGUGGCCCAUCAAGUCUGCGGUUAAAUCCGGAAGCUCAACUUCCGACAAGCCGUGGAAACUGACGAGCUAGAGUCCGGUAGGGGUAGAGGGAAUUCCCAGUGUAGCGGUGAAAUGCGUAGAGAUUGGGAAGAACACCGGUGGCGAAAGCGCUCUACUGGGCCGGAACUGACAC